UACGAAGGGGGCUAGCGUUGCUCGGAAUCACUGGGCGUAAAGCGCACGUAGGCGGAUCUUUAAGUCAGGGGUGAAAUCCUGGAGCUCAACUCCAGAACUGCCUUCGAUACUGGCGAUCUUGAGUCCGGGAGAGGUGAGUGGAACUCCUAGUGUAGAGGUGAAAUUCGUAGAUAUUAGGAAGAACACCAGUGGCGAAGGCGGCUCACUGGCCCGGUACUGACGCUGAUGUGCGACAGCGUGGGGAGCAAACAGG
rnacentral:rRNA from 1 species